rnacentral:rRNA from 1 species
GAAAGAAUAUCGGAGACGGAUGGGCAUGCGGCGCAUUAGCUGGUUGGCGGGGUAACGGCCCACCAAGGCGACGAUGCGUAGGGGUUCUGAGAGGAAGGUCCCCCACACUGGUACUGAGACACGGACCAGACUCCUACGGGAGGCAGCAGUGAGGAAUAUUGGUCAAUGGGCGAGAGCCUGAACCAGCCAAGUCGCGUGAGGGAGUACUGCCCUAUGGGUUGUAAACCUCUUUUGUCGGGGAGCAAAAGCCGGACGUGUCCGGCUGUGAGAGUACCCGAAGAAAAAGCAUCGGCUAACUCCGUGCCAGCAGCCGCGGUAAUACGGAGGAUGCGAGCGUUAUCCGGAUUUAUUGGGUUUAAAGGGUGCGCAGGCGGAUUUUUAAGUCAGCGGUCAAAUCGUGGGGCUCAACCCCAUCCAGCCGUUGAAACUGGGGAUCUAGAGUGUGCGAGAGGUAUGCGGAAUGCGUGGUGUAGCGGUGAAAUGCAUAGAUAUCACGCAGAACCCCGAUUGCGAAGGCAGCAUACCGGUGCACAACUGACGCUCAGGCACGAAAGCGUGGGUAUCGAACAGGAUUAGAUACCCUGGUAGUCCACGCAGUAAACGAUGAAUGCUACCUGUUUGGCCAGAUUGAUGGCUGG